GAUGAACGCUGGCGGCGUGCCUAAUACAUGCAAGUCGAGCGAACAGAUGAGGAGCUUGCUCCUCUGACGUUAGCGGCGGACGGGUGAGUAACACGUGGAUAACCUACCUAUAAGACUGGGAUAACUUCGGGAAACCGGAGCUAAUACCGGAUAAUAUAUUGAACCGCAUGGUUCAAUAGUGAAAGACGGUUUUGCUGUCACUUAUAGAUGGAUCCGCGCCGCAUUAGCUAGUUGGUAAGGUAACGGCUUACCAAGGCAACGAUGCGUAGCCGACCUGAGAGGGUGAUCGGCCACACUGGAACUGAGACACGGUCCAGACUCCUACGGGAGGCAGCAGUAGGGAAUCUUCCGCAAUGGGCGAAAGCCUGACGGAGCAACGCCGCGUGAGUGAUGAAGGUCUUCGGAUCGUAAAACUCUGUUAUUAGGGAAGAACAAAUGUGUAAGUAACUAUGCACGUCUUGACGGUACCUAAUCAAAAAGCCACGGCUAACUACGUG
rnacentral:rRNA from 1 species